rnacentral:rRNA from 1 species
AGUGAACGCUGGCGGUAGGCCUAACACAUGCAAGUCGAACGGCAGCACAGUAAGAGCUUGCUCUUACGGGUGGCGAGUGGCGGACGGGUGAGGAAUACAUCGGAAUCUACUUUUUCGUGGGGGAUAACGUAGGGAAACUUACGCUAAUACCGCAUACGACCUACGGGUGAAAGCAGGGGAUCUUCGGACCUUGCGCGAUUGAAUGAGCCGAUGUCGGAUUAGCUAGUUGGCGGGGUAAAGGCCCACCAAGGCGACGAUCCGUAGCUGGUCUGAGAGGAUGAUCAGCCACACUGGAACUGAGACACGGUCCAGACUCCUACGGGAGGCAGCAGUGGGGAAUAUUUGACAAUGGGCGCAAGCCUGAUCCAGCCAUACCGCGUGGGUGAAGAAGGCCCUCGGGUUGUAAAGCCCUUUUGUUGGGAAAGAAAAGCAGCAGGUUAAUACCCCGCUGUUCUGACGGUACCCAAAGAAUAAGCACCGGCUAACUUCGUG